UACGUAGGGGGCAAGCGUUGUCCGGAAUCAUUGGGCGUAAAGGGUGCGUAGGCGGCGGAGCAAGUCUGAUGUGAAAUCCCGGGGCUCAACCCCGGAACUGCAUUGGAUACUGCUUUGCUAGAGUACUGGAGAGGGAACUGGAAUUUACGGUGUAGCAGUGAAAUGCGUAGAGAUCGUAAGGAAGGCCAGUGGCGAAGGCGAGUUCCUGGACAGUAACUGACGCUGAGGCACGAAGGCCAGGGGAGCAAACGGG
rnacentral:rRNA from 1 species